UAUAGAGCGUCUACGGACGCUCGAGAAAAUUCUACGGGAGUUUUCUCUUUAAACAAAAUCCCUCAUACUCGUCAGCUAAAAUUGUCGGACAAAGUCCGAAAUAAUAACAAAUGCCUCGGCAUCUAUGUUGUCGGACAAAGUCCGAGAGACCAGUCUCUGAAAUAGCAAAUGCCUCGGCUUAAUUAAAAGGAGAGUAACUAUGACACGGAGAGCAGUGACGGGCCACCGCCCGGCGACGAGGGGCCAGGCAGCCGAUGGAGGCCAACCCGCGUGGACCACUAUAGCCGGUUCCGCCUCCGCAGAAAAGGGUGAAGUCCGAAGUGGUCUAGUACGAUCCCAAGAGGCUGCCACGGGUUUCCGAGAAGCCGGCACCGGCUGCGGUUGCUGUAUCUCUCCGAGACAAUGUAGGUAAGGCU
rnacentral:lncRNA from 1 species